GACGUAGGGUGCGAGCGUUGUCCGGAUUUAUUGGGCGUAAAGAGCUCGUAGGCGGCUCGUCGCGUCGACCGUGAAAACCCGCGGCUUAACUGCGGGCUUGCGGUUGAUACGGGCGGGCUAGAGUUCGGUAGGGGAGACUGGAAUUCCUGGUGUAGCGGUGAAAUGCGCAGAUAUCAGGAGGAACACCGGUGGCGAAGGCGGAUCUCUGGGCCUGAUCUGACGCUGAGGCGCGAAAGCUAGGGGAGCGAACAGG
rnacentral:rRNA from 1 species